rnacentral:tRNA from 1 species
GGAGGAAUGGCCGAGCGGCUGAAGGCAGCGGUCUUGAAAACCGCCAAGGGUUCACAGCCCUUCGUAGGUUCGAAUCCUACUUCCUCCG